GAACACACAAAACCACUAAGCAGUCCAACUUCCCCCAAAAAAAAACACUAAGCACUCCACAUACAGCGAUGUCGUCGUUCAACACGAAACUAGUCGUCUUUGGCUUCACCUUGGUCUUGCUCGUCGCGUCACAUGGUGAGUUCCCUGGAGAAUGCUCAGCUCAAAGUUUCUGCGAAACUCUAGUGAUGCAUCCAAAGAAAAAUAAAAAUUUGUGGUUGCAGUUGCGACAGCAUCGUUCUGCGAAGAGACGACGGCGAUCUCUUGCAGCUCCAGCAACGACAUCUGUGAGACCACCUGUCUGAACAGGACAGGUAGUGGCCGCUACAUCGGUGGCUACUGCUCCAGCGACGGCGUAUGCAUAUGCAGGAAGACCUGCGGUGGUGGGCCGUCGUGGUCGUCGACGGCGCCGCGGGACGAGACAGCGACGGCGACGAAGUCGGGACGGCGUGGGAUGAGAGUUCUCAACUGAUUCAGUGGCACUGGAUUGACUAGCUAGGGGCAUAUUGAGAAGAACAGAAACGUUUUGAUCGAUCGAUCUGCGCGUAUGCGUAGUCAAUAAAUUUGUAGUGAAUCCAUGUCAAUAUUAUGUUUCCGGAAAUCUGGUACUACUAGG
rnacentral:lncRNA from 1 species